AUUGAACGCUGGCGGCAUGCCUUACACAUGCAAGUCGAACGGCAGCACGGGAGCAAUCCUGGUGGCGAGUGGCGAACGGGUGAGUAAAGUAUCGGAACGUGCCCAGUCGUGGGGGAUAACGUAGCGAAAGUUACGCUAAUACCGCAUACGAUCUAUGGAUGAAAGCGGGGGAUCGCAAGACCUCGCGCGAUUGGAGCGGCCGAUAUCAGAUUAGGUAGUUGGUGGGGUAAAGGCUCACCAAGCCGAGGAUCUGUAGCUGGUCUGAGAGGACGAACAGCCACCUGGGGACUGAGACACGGCCCAGACUCCUACGGGAGGCAGCAGUGGGGAAUUUUGGACAAUGGGCGAAAGCCUGAUCCAGCCAUGCCGCGUGCAGGAUGAAGGCCUUCGGGUUGUAAACUGCUUUUGUACGGAGCGAAAAGGUUUGGCCUAAUAAGCUGAGCUCAUGACGGUACCGUAAGAAUAAGCACCGGCUAACUACGUGCCAGCAGCCGCAGUAA
rnacentral:rRNA from 1 species